ACCGGAAGUUCUCGCCUGGCCCAGGCGCGGGGUCCAAGAUGGUGGCGCUAGGAGCCGCGACCCAGUGAUAGCGGCCGUGGAGGGGCCCCCGACCGAGCGGGAGGUUGGGGGUAGCCUGGAGGUGAGACCCCGCUGCGUUCACAGAGCUGGCGGCCGCGGCGCCUGCGUCCACCGGCAAGCGAGGAGUGGAGCAGAGCUCAUAUGCCUAUGGGGAGAGGCCUGGGGGACCGCAGGAGGAUGUAGGCGCCGGGUGCGCAUGACUGGGCCUUCUUGCUCUCGGUCGGCUUCUUGGUCUCGGCGUGCCCCAUUCCCGGCCCUGUCCCGCUACUCUUGCCUGUUCCAGUUCCCUCCUGUGGGUACCGCUAACGGCAUCUUCCCGAGGCCCAGAAUCCACCGUCAGGCAUAAAUUGAUUAUUCCUCGCCCACAUCUGUGCCAGAUUCUGAAGACAGGAAUAAGAUGAAGGAAUGGAAAUCAAAGAUGGAAAUUUCUGAAGAAAAGAAGUCAGCAAGGGCUGCAUCCGAAAAACUCCAAAGACAAAUCACCCAGGAAUGUGAGUUAGUUGAAACCAGUAAUUCUGAGGACAGAUUAUUGAAGCACUGGGUAAGCCCUUUAAAGGAUGCAAUGAGACAUCUCCCUUCCCAAGAGAGCGGUAUCAGGGAAAUGCAUAUUAUCCCCCAGAAAGCCAUUGUGGGAGAGAUUGGCCAUGGAUGUAAUGAAGGAGAAAAAAUACUUUCUGCAGGAGAAAGCUCCCAUAGAUAUGAGGUUAGUGGCCAAAACUUCAAACAGAAGUCAGGAUUAACUGAACAUCAGAAAAUUCAUAAUAUAAAUAAGACCUAUGAAUGUAAGGAAUGUGAAAAAACCUUCAACAGGAGUUCAAACCUGAUCAUACAUCAGAGAAUUCAUACAGGAAAUAAGCCAUAUGUGUGUAAUGAAUGUGGGAAAGACUCUAAUCAAAGUUCAAAUCUUAUUAUACAUCAGAGAAUUCAUACAGGAAAGAAACCUUAUAUAUGUCAUGAAUGUGGAAAAGACUUCAAUCAGAGCUCCAAUCUGGUGAGACAUAAGCAAAUUCACAGUGGUGGGAAUCCCUAUGAGUGCAAAGAGUGUGGGAAGGCUUUUAAGGGAAGCUCAAACCUUGUCCUGCACCAGAGAAUCCACAGUAGGGGGAAGCCAUAUUUAUGCAAUAAAUGUGGGAAGGCUUUCAGUCAAAGCACAGAUCUUAUUAUACAUCACAGAAUUCACACUGGAGAGAAACCCUAUGAAUGUUAUGACUGUGGACAGAUGUUCAGUCAAAGUUCACACCUUGUCCCACAUCAGAGAAUUCACACUGGAGAGAAACCCCUCAAAUGUAAUGAAUGUGAAAAAGCCUUCAGGCAGCAUUCUCACCUUACUGAACACCAGAGACUCCACAGUGGAGAGAAACCCUAUGAAUGUCACAGAUGUGGGAAGACCUUCAGUGGGCGCACAGCUUUUCUUAAACAUCAGAGAUUGCAUGCUGGAGAGAAAAUUGAAGAAUGUGAGAAAACCUUCAGCAAGGAUGAGGAGCUUAGGGAAGAGCAGAGAAUUCACCAGGAAGAGAAAGCUUAUUGGUGUAAUCAGUGUGGUAGGAAUUUCCAGGGCACCUCAGACCUCAUCAGACAUCAGGUAACUCAUACAGGAGAGAAACCAUAUGAAUGUAAAGAAUGUGGGAAAACUUUCAAUCAGAGCUCAGACCUUCUGAGACAUCAUAGAAUUCACAGUGGAGAAAAACCUUGUGUAUGUAGCAAAUGUGGGAAAUCUUUUAGGGGCAGCUCAGAUCUUAUUAGACACCAUCGUGUUCAUACUGGAGAGAAACCCUAUGAAUGUAGUGAAUGUGGGAAAGCCUUUAGCCAGAGGUCACACCUUGUUACACACCAGAAAAUCCAUACUGGAGAGAAGCCCUAUCAGUGCACUGAAUGUGGGAAAGCCUUCAGGCGGCGUUCACUCCUUAUUCAACAUCGGAGAAUUCAUAGUGGUGAGAAACCCUAUGAAUGUAAGGAAUGUGGGAAGCUCUUCAUUUGGCGCACAGCUUUCCUCAAACAUCAGAGCCUGCAUACUGGAGAGAAACUUGAAUGUGAGAAAACCUUCAGCCAGGAUGAGGAGCUUAGGGGAGAGCAGAAAAUUCACCAGGAAGCGAAAGCUUAUUGGUGUAAUCAGUGUGGUAGGGCUUUCCAGGGCAGCUCAGACCUCAUCAGACAUCAGGUAACUCAUACAAGAGAGAAACCAUAUGAAUGCAAAGAAUGUGGGAAAACUUUCAAUCAGAGCUCAGACCUUCUGAGACAUCAUAGAAUUCACAGUGGAGAAAAACCUUAUGUAUGCAACAAAUGUGGGAAAUCUUUUAGGGGUAGCUCAGAUCUUAUUAAACACCAUCGUAUUCAUACUGGAGAGAAACCCUAUGAAUGUAGUGAAUGUGGGAAAGCCUUCAGCCAGAGGUCACACCUUGCUACACACCAGAAAAUCCAUACUGGAGAGAAACCCUAUCAGUGCAGUGAAUGUGGGAAUGCCUUCAGGCGGCGUUCCCUCCUUAUUCAACAUCGGAGACUUCAUAGUGGUGAGAAACCCUAUGAAUGUAAGGAAUGUGGGAAACUCUUCAUGUGGCACACGGCUUUCCUCAAACAUCAGAGACUGCAUGCUGGAGAGAAACUUGAAGAAUGUGAGAAAACCUUCAGCAAGGAUGAGGAGCUUAGAAAAGAGCAGAGAACUCACCAGGAAAAGAAAGUUUAUUGGUGUAAUCAGUGUAGUAGGACCUUCCAGGGCAGCUCAGAUCUCAUCAGACAUCAGGUAACUCAUACAAGAGAGAAACCAUAUGAAUGUAAAGAAUGUGGGAAAACUCAAUCAGAGCUCAGACCUUCUGAGACAUCAUAGAAUUCACAGUGGAGAAAAACCUUACGUAUGCAAUAAAUGUGGGGAAUCUUUUAGGAGCAGCUCAGAUCUUAUUAAACACCAUCGUGUUCAUACUGGAGAGAAACCUCAUGAAUGUAGUGAAUGUGGGAAAGUCUUUAGCCAGAGGUCCCACCUUGUCACACACCAGAAAAUCCACACUGGAGAGAAGCCCUAUCAGUGCACUGAAUGUGAAAAAGCCUUCAGGCGGCGUUCACUCCUUAUUCAACGUCGGAGAAUUCAUAGUGGUGAGAAACCCUAUGAAUGUAAGGAAUGUGGGAAACUCUUCAUGUGGCACACAGCUUUCCUCAAACAUCAGAGACUGCAUGCUGGAGAGAAACUUGAAGAACGUGAGAAAACCUUCAGCAAGGAUGAGGAGCUUAGGGGAGAGCAGAAAAUUCACCAAGAAGAGAAAGCUUAUUGGUGUAAUCAGUGUGGUAGGGCUUUCCAGGGCAGCUCAGACCUCAUCGGACAUCAGGUAACUCAUACAGGAGAGAAACCAUAUGAAUGUAAAGAAUGUGGGAAAACUUUCAAUCAGAGCUCAGACCUUCUGAGACAUCAUAGAAUUCACAGUGGAGAAAAACCUUAUGUAUGCAACAAAUGUGGGAAAUCUUUUAGGGGCAGCUCAGAUCUUAUUAGACACCAUCGUGUUCAUACUGGAGAGAAACCCUAUGAAUGCCCUGAAUGUUGGAAGGCCUUCAGUCAGAACUCACACCUUGUCAGUCAUCAAAGAAUUCAUACCAGAGAGAAACCCUUUGAAUGUAGCAACUGUGGUAAGGCCUUCAGUGGGUGGACAGCUUUUCUUAAGCACCAGAAACUUCACAUUGGAAAGGAAUUUGAAGACUGUAAGAGUCUACAAACAGGACCUAUUCUAAUAGGUAGCAGAAACCUAAUGAAUGCAGUAAAACUAGGAAAAGUCUGAUGGAGACCACAUCUUAUUGCACUACAAAUGAGUUUUAUUAGAAAAAAACCAUGGGAAGGUGGGAAAGCAGAGAAAAUACCUACUGGAUUUUUCAAACGUAGACCAGGUCCUCCUUGAGGUUCUCAGGCUGCAUCUCCAGGUUGGCUCCGGCCAGGGUCAGCUUGUCCAGCCCCUGGUGCAGCUCCAGAGACCCAGCCUCGCUUGGUGCAGAAGUCAUUGGCAGCCAGGUGGGCAUCAUCCACCUGUAGCCAGCACUUCUCCAUUCUGCCAACGUCUCCGGCCUGGUGAACAAAUAGAAGCUGAGGGUGAAGGACCUACAGCUGUCACCUUCAUCUCUUCUCAACACUGCCAGAUGUCUCCUUGGAUCUCCCAGACAGACAACAAGGGGCAUCUCUGGUUUCUCGGUGCCCGCUAGAAACCUAGGGUCAUUUCAAGGCAUUAUGCAAAUGAGAAGCUUUCCUUCUCUUCACCUCAUCUCCUGAUCUGCACAAAAAUGACUGUAGGACCCACUGUAGGUACCAAUGUAGGCACCAAUCCUCAGUUUACCACCUGCUCUCUACUUGCUUCCCUGCCAUAACUUUCUAAAAGGGAUGUGAGCCAUGUUUAAAGUCACCUGGUCACUGGAGAGAUCUUGUUCUACCCUCUACAUCAGUGGUUGCCAACCUUUUUGGCACCAGGGAUGGGUGUUGUGGAAGACAAUUUUUCCACGGACUGGGGGGAUGGGGGGAAUGGUUUCAGGAUAAAACUGUUCCACCUCAAAUCAUCAGGCAUUAGAUUCUCAUAAGGAGCACACAACCUAGAUUGCUAGCAUGCGCAGUUCACAAUAGGGUUCUUUCUCCUGUGAGAAUGGCGUGCCGCUGCUGAUCUAACAGGAGGCAGAGCUCAGGCGGUAAUGGGAGCAAGGGGGAGCGGCUAUAAAUACAGCUCGCCACUCACCUCCUGCUGUGCAGCCCGGUUCCUAACAGGCCAUGGACAGUACUGGUCUGUAGCCCAGGAGUUGGGGAAUCCUGCUCUACAGAGUUUCCAACCUCAGAGAUGAAGCAUCCCCUCUGUAUACAAGUCAGAAAGAAAUUAUUCAAGUAGGAGAAUUAAAACAGGAUCACAGAGAGGGAGGCUGAAGAAUUUGACUUUCUGUGUUUACUUGUAUGAGGAAAAACAGCACAUAGAGGCAACCACAGUAUUUAAUUUGUUUGGAUAAUAGUUAACAGAUAAACAGGUACACCCCAUAUACAAUUACCAAUACUUUUGAUACAGUUCAUAUUUCAGUACAUCAACACUAUUUUAUUUACACUCUAUUUAUGUACAUUAACAUCUUUCUAAAGUCAGUGCAUUGUCAACAAGUUUUAUACAGUAAUUUACAAGGUGAAUGUAGUUAAUAGUUAAUUUAAUAAAUUUUCCGCUAGUUCAUGAAUUAAAAAAAUUAAUUACAACCAGUAUAACACAAAUCACACAACAUUAGUAGAUUGUGCUACCUGUUUAAAUAAAACAUCUGUAAAGAAAUUAUUUAAAAUCUUCCACUUUUUAAUGGGACAUGUCCAGGUAGGAAUGGACAGAUUUUAUUUACUGAAAAUCUUGAAACUAUAAAGUGUGCAUUUUGUCUGACUUUAUUACAUUAGACAAUUUAGGCCACUCCUACCUACUUGCAAUUAUAUUUUUUCUGAAAAGGAUUUCAAUUUAGGUAGCCAUUUAAGAUAACCUUUCCAAAUGCUCUGAGAACUAGAUAUUAAUAGUUACUGGCCUCAGAUAUCAGAACACAAAUGCUUAGUUACAUUGGUAAUUACUACCUAUGAGGAAGAAAGGGUAAUGGAAUCUGGCAAUGAGAAUCAACUUGCAGGGUCUAAAUGAAUAAACAAAGACCAAAAAUAAGGUGAAACAUUUCCUUCAAGUAUAUAUUAAGAAACUACAUGAAAAAAAUUCUACCUCAAAUAAAUAAUAUUUAUACUUUUGUUCCAAUCUUAAAUAAUUAGAGGGAAAAAAUGAAGUAAGCAAAGAAACAUAACUUUCAAUGACUACUGUAAAAUUUAAAAAAAGACAAAUAUCAAAAUAAAAAAACCAGUGGACAUGCAAACAAA